GGGCCCGCACAAGCAGCGGAGCGUGUGGUUUAAUUCGAUGCUACACGAAGAACCUUACCUGGGCUUGACAUGCGCGUAGUAGUGAACCGAAAGGGGAACGAGCCUUCGGGCAGCGCGCACAGGUGCUGCAUGGCUGUCGUCAGCUCGUGCCGUGAGGUGUUGGGUUAAGUCCCGCAACGAGCGCAACCCUCGUCGCUAGUUACAUGUGUCUAGCGAGACUGCCAGGUUAACCCUGGAGGAAGGUGGGGAUGACGUCAAGUCAGCAUGGCCUUUAUGUCCAGGGCUACACACACGCUACAAUGGUCGGUACAACGGGAUGCCAAGCCGCGAGGCGGAGCGAAUCCUCAAAGCCGGCCUCAGUUCGGAUUGGAGGCUGCAACCCGCCUCCAUGAAGUCGGAGUUGCUAGUAACCGCAGGUCAGCUAUACUGCGGUGAAUACGUUCCCGGGCCUU
rnacentral:rRNA from 1 species